GGGCCCAUAUCAUGCAAAAUCCACUUUUUAGACAUUUUGGAGCGUUCCUAUGACUCUAUGGGUCACAUAUACACACACUGAGCACGGUAGAAAUGCAUUUCCUGCUUUUUUCACAUUUUGAAAACGUAAAUUUUCUUAUCCAAUGAAAACAGCCACGACCUACUCUGAGGCCGUUCCCCAGUUCUCGUCACACUGGUUGAAAGUUCUCCUUGCAAAUCCUGAACCACCACCCCCACAAUGAUCCCGAACCAAAACUGGACUUCCGCCAUUUCCCCCCUCUCACUCACCGUGAACAGACCAGCACGGCAGCGCCCAAGUCCUCCCAUAGAAAUAGUUCGGUUCUUGGGUGUUCUAACCAACACCAAAGUCUCUUCAUUUUACCAGGGAACAACAAGUGAGGAUUUGUGGGUCACUUUUAUUUUUAACGGACCGGUGCCAGAAACACUGCCUCAGCAUUUAUACGUAUGUGCAUUUCAAACGAGGGUGCGUACAAUGCUGGAUUUGUUUCACGGCUCCUGUUGGAAAAAAAGGAUCUAUUCCUAAAGUCCGUCAUCCACUCACUGAAGAGGGCAAAUCCCAGUUGCCCACAUGCAAGGAGGCUGUCAAACAGAGAAAUCACUGCAGACUGUUGGUACACAGACAUCUGCUGCCCAGCUCAGGAGUAAAGGUAUGUAAGUUUGUAUGUACCAACAGUAAGAUAGGUAAUAGAAGAUUUUAAUUGGUAUAUACUGUUUAGAUUUUAUAUUUGAAUUGUAACAACUGUUUAUCUGUUGUUUUAGCACAGACAGGCCUGUCCUCUUGUUUGGUUUAAUUUUUGUCUGGUAUUGUGUGUUCUUACAUUAGAGAAGGUUUUGACCUACAUAAUAAUUAACAUUUCACUAAUCUACAAUUCUGAUUGCACUACCUUUUGUUUUGAUGAGGUGAUGGUGAGGACAGCCACAGCUUCCAUCUGGUAGAGGACUGCUUCCGCUCAGUCUUCCAAAUAGUGAUGAGAACAAGGAUCACCACAUCUCCCUGUUUACCCUACUUUCAUGCAUUUCGUCUGCAAGGCCCUGCAAAAGCUUCUCCUUCGUCCUCAAACCCCCAGACUUCUUAAUUAACUCAGUAACCUAUACAUUGCACAUUGGAGUGUGAAGGUAACAGUUUGUUCUAGCUUUGGCGUAGUGGUGUAUUUUUUUGGUUUACAAUAAAGUUGGCUUUAACUAUUA